UACGUAGGUGGCAAGCGUUGUCCGGAUUUACUGGGCGUAAAGGAUGCGUAGGUGGAUAUUUAAGUGGGAUGUGAAAUACCCGGGCUUAACCUGGGUGCUGCAUUCCAAACUGGAUAUCUGGAGUGCAGGAGAGGAAAGCGGAAUUCCUAGUGUAGCGGUGAAAUGCGUAGAGAUUAGGAAGAACACCAGUGGCGAAGGCGGCUUUCUGGACUGUAACUGACACUGAGGCAUGAAAGCGUGGGGAGCAAACAGG
rnacentral:rRNA from 1 species